rnacentral:lncRNA from 1 species
UAUAACCUAAGACUUACAAAAACUGUAGAGAAAGAGGCUAGUGCAGAAUAAGCAAGCCUACCCUUUAUGUCACUGAGAGACCUGGGACCGCCAUGAGACUGGUCGGCCUCACAUACGGCCCUCCAGAAGUCCUGCUCUGCCACACUGGAGGCUUGGCCUUCAUUUUGCAGACUUAGGGCCAACAUGAAGUCCAAGUUUGCACUCUCUUCACCACCCUCUUUGGGGGGCUGUUGGCCUCUAUUCCUUUCCUGCCUCUCUUGUUCUUCAAACAGAUUAUUCUGAAUUGAAACCUGGGCUGUAAUGUUCCUUUGGUUGGUAGUUCUAUUGUGGAAAACAUCUGAUUCAAAGGCUCUCAGGGGCCUUCGCGGCAGCCUCAUGGGUGGGUCCAGAGCCUCAAUUUGUCUGAGGAGUUGGGAUGCAAUCCAGAUUCCAUCCUGACCCCAAGAUUCAUCAUAUGCAUUAGGAGGUAUGGCAACCUCAUUUCUCUUUUCCUCCCCCUCUCUCCC